rnacentral:lncRNA from 1 species
GCCGCCCUCGGCGGCAUCGUCAUCCUCCACUCCAACGCCGCCUCCUCCGACCAGGCCGCCAUGGUCAGAUCCGUCAAGGCCCGCCGCGUCCCUCUCCUCUCCGCCCCCGUCUUCAUGUCCCGCGGAGACCGCAUCCACAACAACGACGUUUUCGACCACGGCGCCAAUCCCUACGUCCUCGUCACCGAGUCCGGCGGCCCCAGCUCCAAGCUUUUGGGCUACAUGGCGAGCCGCGAUUGGGUGAAGCUGGCGAACAAGGAGGUCAAGAUUUACGAUUACAUGGUUAGCUGUAAGGACAUGGUUUUGCCUUGGAGCUCCGAUUUGGGGAAGAUUGAGGAGUUCAUGGCGGAUAAAGGCCGGGACGUGGCGGCGACGGUGAGGGACGACGAGGUUGUCGACG